UGUUCUUUGGUCAGUGUUGUAGCUUAAUAAAAUAUUAUUUAAUGUUUUUGAAUACAGUUUUUAAUUAGUCGAAUCACCGACUGGCAAUGACCAUGACACAAUGUUAGAUUAUUAUUAUUAUGACUGCAUGCCUCUCGAUUAAAAAGAGCAAUAUUUCAUAUAUCAAAAUCCACUUUUUUUUAUCUUUUAUUCCAAAGCAAAAUUGAAGGUAAAACAACAUAAAUCGGAAAAUUUAUUUUCUGAUAUGCCACUAAGGGCGUGGUAAGUCGUAUCGGAAGGUAUAGUGAUUUUUCAAUCUCUGCUUUAUUUUAGCACUAUUAAUGCUAGAACCCUGAAAUAUUUUAUAUAUACUCGGGUUGGCCACCCAGGACCGAAACGCUAUGGCGGAUAUAUCUGCGGCCAUAGGGGGCUUGGCAAACAGCAAAAGUUUAUAUGUCCUACAGUUUUAGAGCGAGAAGCUUCAAAUUUGGAUAAUUGAGUUAAUGGCAUCCUCCUCUAUUAAUCCUCCUCUAUCCACUAGAGGCGUGGCGAAUCGGAACUUGUAGCGCCCAACUAAGAAAUUUAUAUGCGUGGAAUACUUUAAUGUAUAAUAAUGCAGAAUAGUAAUUAAAAUGAAUAAUAUGAAUAAUAA